GGAAGUUAUGCUCCCCCUCUAUUCUGCCUUGGUCAGACCACACCUGGAAUACUGUGUCCAAUUUUGGGCACCACAGUUGAAGGGACAAACUGGAAAGCGUCCAGAGGAGGGCGACUAAAAUGAUUAAGGGUCUGGAGAACAAGCCCUAUGAGGAGCGGCUUAAAGAGCUGGGCAUGUUUAGCCUGCAGAAGAGAAGGCUGAGAGGAGACAUGAUAGCCAUGUACAAAUACGUGAAGGGAAGUCAUAGGGAAGAGGGAGCAAGCUUGUUUUCUGCUGCCCUGCAGACUAGGACACGGAACAAUGGCUUCAAACUACAGGAAAGGAGAUUCCACCUGAACAUCAGGAAGAACUUCCUCACUGUGAGGGCUGUUCGGCAGUGGAACUCUCUCCCCGGGGCCGUGGUGGAGGCUCCUUCCUUGGAGGCUUUUAAGCAGAGGCUGGAUGGCCAUCUGUCGGGGGUGAGAGUUCCACUGUCGAACAGCUCUCACAGUGAGGAAGUUCUUCCUGAUGUUCAGGUGGAAUCUCCUUUCCUGUAGUUUGAAGCCAUUGUUCCGUGUCCUAGUCUGCAGGGCAGCAGAAAACAAGCUUGCUCUCUCCUCCCUAUGACUUCCCUUCACGUAUUUGUACAUGGUCAAGUUGCCUUGACUAAACAUCUCUACAAUGUUUAGUCAAGGCAAACCUCUAUAAGAAGUCUGGGACCAUUGUUUUUUUUUGUAUGAGCAUUGUCUCUGUCCUGAAUGGUUUCUUGCCAAACCAGUUUUAGGCCUGGUAAAUGAUUAUAUUCUUUCUCCCAAGAAAGUUUGGGGAUGGGCUGGGGCUGAGACUCAGCUAAGAUAUGUAAAAAAAUGUUAUAAAUGUAUAGUUAUUAUUAUUAGAGGAGGGGGUCAAUGCUUGAUAACAAGAGAACACACUAAAAUAUGCCACAUUAAGAAUUUAACAGGAAAGAUGACAUAACAGUAAGAGAAAUGUAAAAGAAAGAGAAAGAAUAUUUAACUGUUUUGUCAUACCUGGUCUGCAGUACAGCAGUACAGGGGCAUUUCAGGAUGUUAUUAUAGCUAUUGCAAGGAUCUCUUUAAAUGUUUGAACAUUUUAAGUCAGAUUUUGAAAGCUGCCAUUUGCAAGAGUUUUGUCUUGAUCACUCAAUUAUAGGUUUUUCUUAUUAGAAGAUAUCUUUAGGAAAAAGGUUCAUUUGGAAUGGACCAAGUGGUGCCAGAUCUUUUGGCUAUAUUUGGGUGAUUCAGUGGCUCCGUAGAUGGCUAUAUGUAUAUGUAUUGACAAGAACAGCCAUGUGUGAGUUUUUUCCCUGCAAGCCUUGCCAGAGCCAAUCAGAAAAAGAAAACAGAUCACUUGUCUUUUUGAAAAGCUGGUCUAUAUAUAUAUAUACCAGGGCGAGCUCUUCCAUUUUUAUGUGGUAUCCUGGUGUUUGAGAGAGAGAUAUUGUGUGCUAAUUAGCUCUGUGUUUUAUCUCAGUGCUGUUGCUGCUUAGGAUCGCUUUUGAGAAUUCCAAUCAUUUUCUUCUGCAUUAUAUCAUUAAAUUUUCUUAGUUAAUAUCUUCCUUAUAGUCCUUCUUUUAUUCUGUUAAUUUCACUAGGGAGGUGUGGGUGGGCAUGCAUUGAGAGGAGGGUUGUGAGUUUCAAAAGGGCAUUUUUGUGUUGUCUAAAUAUUUUUUUACCUUUCUUUGCUUUAACUUGAUUGAGUGUGGGAUAGAUUUAGGCAAGAGAGGGAUUUCAAUCCCUUCCCAGCCCUACCUUCUGGCUUCUGUACUCUGUCCUGCAACAGCAGUCUCUCUCCUCCCCGCCUCCAAAAAAAACACCAAAAAACCCCCAAACAAACCAUAUUUAAAACUUACAAAAAGGCCUUUCUUCUAGUUAACCUUUUCGGCUCUCUGCUAUUCUCUCCCCAGCCCUACCUUCUGUCUUGUGUGUACAUCUUCACUAGUCCUGCAGCCUCCCUCCCCAUUUUUUAAAAAUAUUAAAACACAUUUAAAAAUUACAAAAAAGCCCUUAUUUCUUAUUUGUAGAAACCAAAAAUUUCCUAGAAAUCCGUGGAUGAUCCAAACAUUCUGAAACCUUGGGGACUUGCAAUCAUAAAUUUGUCCAAGUGUAGCACAGGCAUUGAAGGAGCAUCUGUGCUCCCUCCCAGCAUCUGUGCUCCCUCCCUCACCCCUCCGCAUGAAGCCAAACAGCUCAAUCACAGACUAACCAGUUACGUUGGGAGUUUGCUACACAAGGGCUUUGUAACAGGUGCACAUCUCUGUACCAGAGAUAAGGAAAAUCAGUGGGAUCAAGGUAAUAACCUGCAGGACAAUCCACUAACAUGACCAGAACCACUAACAUGAUCAAAAAUAUAUAAUGAUCACAUUGUCCAUUUUAAUCAAAACACAUGGUCCUUUGACUCUGUGAGCAGUGGCUUCACUACCCCAUUAGUUGUGUGUCACAUCUACCAAUUCAACUAAUUGCUUAUACUCAUAAACAUGACUUUUCCUUUCUGAUUUGGGUACUGAACUAAAAUUCUGUUGGACAGAGCAAGAAUUCAUGAUUCUAUUUCAGGUUGAGUGGCUAAAUUUAAUUAAUGAAUUGAUUUACUUUUUACCAUUAGCAACUGAUGUUUGAAACAGAUUCCUUGGGCUCAGUUAUUGUACCAAGUUUGGAAUUUGAUGCAUCAUUUCUUUCUGGUUAUUCAUGAUAUUGUUAUUGCCAUCAGCUUUAUAUGCUUUUAACCACAUAAUUUUUUCUCCUGAAGUUUUUUCCCGAUCCAGUAUACUACCUUCCAAAAACUUCUGCAUUAGUUCUGCUGAUUCACCUGCUUUCCAAACAUUUCUCCCUCCCAAUUACUUAGGCUUGUAGGGAAGCAGCCAGAAUUUGUCCCUGAUAUUUCUAGUUCUAAUAAUGUUUGUGGGUCAUUGCUAGUUUACUGAUACCUCAAUUUAAACUCAAUCUGAAUGUGAUGGGAGGCACUAUUUUUGUGUGUUGCAGAUAAUGAACCCCUGAGGAAAGUGAAUGAACAUUUUCUGCUAAAUGAACAAGGACUAAUUCUAGAUCUUCAGAGUUUUCUUUUCAUAGCUGUUGUUCCAGAACUAAUUGUGCCCUGUAUAUCUAGGAAUUAUUGUGCAACAUCUGAGAAUAAUUAGAAAGACAUCUAAAAUUAGCAGUUUCCCAUAAAUGAGCCUGGCUGGAAUCCUAGUGGGGAUUUAUGUCUUUGUAUAUGAAGUUACAUCUGCAGGAACUACAUUUGGGUAGUUUUGCAACAUCAUAUCCAAUAAUGAACUGUUACACUACCUGACAAAUGGACUAAUACUUAUCAGGACUGAUCUGCAAUGGGAUCAAUGGGUAUCAGGGUCCAAACAGAGAGAGCCUCAGUAAAGUACCCUGAACAUCUUUCUAGUGUUCUGUUUUUUUUAAUCAUCUGUUAUACAGUUAAGUAUAGGUAAAAUUACUUACCUAAAUCUAGGGCCAGUCUUUCCCUUGAUUCUGAGGAACUUUUCAUACACUGUGCUCUCAAACCGUACCAGUGGUGGGAGCAGAACCCUGACUAUCCAGUUGGACCAAACCAAAUUCAGCCCCACUGAAUGGUCACUCUUAACUUUUCCAUCACUUGUUUCCACAGCAGUGGUCAUAAAGCAAGUAUGUUGAUAUCUGUGGUCACUACUGAAUCAAAAAGUAAAAGAAAAGUUUUUAUUGUGUUAGAACUGGCUUGAAAACAUACUGCAAGUCACUUCUGGUGUGAGAGAAUUGGCCGUCUAUAGAGACGUUGCCCAGGGGAUGCCUGGAUGUGUUGGUGGAAGGCUUCUCUCAUGUCCCCACAAGCUAGAGCUGACAGAUGGGAGCUCACUCCAUCUCACAGAUUUGAACCAGCAACCUUCAGGUCAGCAGUUCAGCUGG
rnacentral:lncRNA from 1 species